rnacentral:rRNA from 1 species
UCCUGGCUUAGGAUGAACGCUAGCUACAGGCUUAACACAUGCAAGUCGAGGGGAAACGAUAUUGAAAGCUUGCUUCUUAGGCGUCGACCGGCGAAUGGGUGAGUAACGCGUAUCCAACCUGCCCCUGAGUAAGGGAUAGCCCAUCGAAAGAUGGAUUAAUACCUUAUGGUUUCCUUUGAAGGCAUCAGAUUAGGAAUAAAGAUUUAUCGCUGAGGGACGGGGAUGCGUCUGAUUAGCUUGUUGGCGGGGUAACGGCCCACCAAGGCAACGAUCAGUAGGGGUUCUGAGAGGAAGGUCCCCACAUUGGUACUGAGACACGGACCAAACUCCUACGGGAGGCAGCAGUGAGGAAUAUUGGUCAAUGGGCGCAAGCCUGAACCAGCCAAGUAGCGUGCAGGAAUGACUGCCCUAUGGGUUGUAAACUGCUUUUAUACGGGGAUAAAGUCAGAGUCGUGACUCUGUUUGCAGGUACCGUAUGAAUAAGGACCGGCUAAUUCCGUGCCAGCAGCUGC